rnacentral:rRNA from 1 species
AACGACUCUCGGCAACGGAUAUCUCGGCUCUCGCAUCGAUGAAGAACGUAGCGAAAUGCGAUACUUGGUGUGAAUUGCAGAAUCCCGUGAACCAUCGAGUCUUUGAACGCAAGUUGCGCCCGAAGCCUUCCGGCGGAGGGCACGUCUGCCUGGGCGUCACGC